CUAAAAUAAAUGUUCCCUCGGUUCCAAAAUAUAAAGUCACUUGGCUUUUUAUAAUUAACACCUCAACUUAACUAGUUCACCAGAGAUGGCAAUCAAAAUGAGAAAACAAUUUUAAAUGUCAUUUGCAACUUUCCUUCCAAUAUGAUUUUCUUCUGUAAGAUAAUAAACUAGACAUGCCAGAUGAGAAAAGUUCUUUUCUUGCCAUCACUCUGCCCAUACUGAGGAAAGAACCAAAUCUGCUAUAUAUCAUUCCUUAGUCAGAUUUUUGUUGGGGUAGCUUCAUAUAUGUUCUUAUUGCCACAACUCCCAUUCAUUCAAUCCUUGAUUUGGUUGGGUGUACUCUUGAAAGCUUGAACUCUAUAAAUUCAGUUACUUUCCUCUUGAUGCUUGUGCAUCCUCAUAAUUCAUAGGACCUGCAAAGUCGAAAUGAACCUUUACUGAUUACUAGAAAUAACAGUACAGAAUGGGCAGCAUUGUCUUUUUCCAAAAAGAGUGCAAUUAAUUCUGAAGUAAAUAACCUAACAUAAUAGGGGUACCUGCCAUUAUUUUCUAUCUCAAUCAGUGGAUAAAAACACUCUCUUUUUUGCUUUAAGUGAAGAACUCUUUAUCUCUUUCCAAUAGCCUUGCUCAAAUUUAGCUUUAACAUAUGCAAUACAAAGCUUACUUUUUUUUUUUAUCCUUAAUAAAGGAAAGAUGAGACUACACAGACAGCUGUACUUCCAAUGAAUCUCUUCCAAAGAUUUGUGUUUCCAACAUAUUUCAUUACCAACCGUAAAACUGAUUUUCUCAAAUGAAGGACAUUUCAGUCAUAACUUAACAUUGCUGAAGAUGGAUAGGGCUCUCUUUGUAAGUUAUGCACAUAAGUGACUCAUUCAAAGCAGUAAACGAUCAAUUUCUUGCCUUACUUGGGCGGCCAUUCAUGCAUUGAAGCAUGUUAUCCAUGUAAUGUCUAGUAGUUGUUGAGAUUCCCUUGUUCUUGAAAUUAGUUGCAUCGAGUCAUUGACAAGCUUCUGCAUGGCACAUGGAAUGCAGGAAUACACCAUUAAUCAGAGAGAGAGAGACCGCUAAAAACAUGAUAUAUUGCAAGACAUCAAUUCAACACAAAUUUUCUUAUCAAAACAAAAGCCAUUUUUUGGAGUUUUUACUUGGCAAAUAUUGAUGCUCAUCUUUAAUUUCCUAUCGUUUCUAGCAUUUUCGGUGAUCUUGUCUGCUCUAAAGAAAAUAUAAAAAUAAUAUACAUACACAUAUUUAUAUAUAUAUAUAUAUAUAUAUAUAUAUAUAUAGAGAGAGAGAGAGAGAGAGAGAGAGAGAGAGAGAGAGAGAGAGAGAGANNNNNNNNNNNNNNNNNNNNNNNNNNNNNNNNNNNNNNNNNNNNNNNNNNNNNNNNNNNNNNNNNNNNNNNNNNNNNNNNNNNNNNNNNNNNNNNNNNNNUAUAUAUAUAUAUAUAUAUAUAUAUAUAUAUAUGUAGAGAGAGAGAGAGAGAGAGAGAGAGAGAAGUACUGAAGUCAUGGGCACCAGAUACACCAGCCAGUCAGCCAGCCAAACAGCCAUGUUUUCUUCAUCAAUAUGACAUAAUAUGAACAAUCACUGAACUAUCAUCAAGCUAAAAUAACAAACUUGUGAUGCUACAGAAGUUUUCCAUUUUAACUCCAAUAAUUUAACCAAAAGUCCAGUCAGAAAAUUAAUUUCUAUGUAUGUAUUUACCAGCCUAACAGUAACCAUUAUAUUUAUUUAGCUAUAAAGAUAUAAUACAAUCAUAGGGGAAUAGCCUAUCGCUACCGACCUUAUAAGUCGCAGAAAAGAAAAUACUCAAAAGAGAGCAGCUUUUCAAUCUCAAACAUAAAAUUCCCUGAAGGUGCACCAUGGCAGAGGUGCACAAGGAAGCAACAAAAAAAAAUCCCUAUCUCACAACAAAGACAAAGAUAAAUAGCUUUAUAAAAAGCCUACAACUACGCUCUUUCCAGAUCCCCUAAUUAAGAAACGAAAAAGACCAUGCACUUACAAAGCAUCUUAGCAUCUUUACUCCCUCCAAACCCUUUAAACUGGAUACGCAAUAAAUCAUCCACUGUGCGUGACACACCCACUCCUCCCCCAACACUCUAAAAACAAAAUUCCAUAAACCCAAGCAACAUGACAAUGCAAAAAUAAAUGAGAAUGUGACUCAACGUUCUACAUGCACAUAACAUAGAUGUCUAGAGAUAAAGCCUUGUGGGCUUUGCGCACUUUAGAUCAUUAGUAUUCAGUCUUUUUAAAGUCAUACACCAAAUAAAUGCCUAAAUAUUGGGAGGAACCUUUGCCUUCCAAAUUCUAGAAGCCAAAGAAAACUAAACUAGGACACGAGAACGAGCCUAAAUUGAUGUCUAAAGGUGUAAGUGAGUCCAUUCAAUCCAAGUUUUAGAUUGCUCAAGCUCGGCUUGUCUAGAAACGAGCCUAAAUUAACGUUCAGUUUGUUUAUCAUAUGAGUCGAUCUCAAACAAGAUUUAAUCGAGCUGAGCUCAAAUAGCUAAUUAUUUUUCUAUUGUUUUAAAAUUUAAAAUUUUGAUUGAUUAAACAAACUGAUAUUGUUAUGUUAACAAGCUGAAAAAUGUGAUCGAGCUUGGCUCAUUUAUCUUACAAGUCAAUCUCAAAUGAACUUUAUAUGAGCUAAACACUAGUGGAACUCCAAUAGCUUGGUUUGUU
rnacentral:lncRNA from 1 species